rnacentral:rRNA from 1 species
GACGAACGCUGGCGGCGUGCCUAAUACAUGCAAGUAGAACGCACAGUUUAUACCGUAGCUUGCUACACCAUAGACUGUGAGUUGCGAACGGGUGAGUAACGCGUAGGUAACUUGCCUGGUAGCGGGGGAUAACUAUUGGAAACGAUAGCUAAUACCGCAUAAUAUUAAUUAUUGCAUGAUAAUUAAUUGAAAGGUGCAAUUGCACCACUACCAGAUGGACCUGCGUUGUAUUAGCUAGUAGGUGAGGUAACGGCUCACCUAGGCGACGAUACAUAGCCGACCUGAGAGGGUGAUCGGCCACACUGGGACUGAGACACGGCCCAGACUCCUACGGGAGGCAGCAGUAGGGAAUCUUCGGCAAUGGACGAAAGUCUGACCGAGCAACGCCGCGUGAGUGAAGAAGGUUUUCGGAUCGUAAAGCUCUGUUGUAAGAGAAGAACGGGUGUGAGAGUGGAAAGUUCACACUGUGACGGUAUCUUACCAGAAAGAGACGGCUAACUACGUG